GAGAUGCUGAGCUCAGCGCUACGGUCGUUGUCGCGCUGCUGGGUGGGGGCUGGGCGAGCAGCCGGCGCCUUUCUGGGUCUCAGUUUUGUCGUCUGAAGGAUGCUUUGUCAUGAGGAACGUGAGAUGCUAUCGUGUGACAGUGCCAAGCAAGUCGAAGAUGCUUCAGGGUGAAUGGGAAUGGGAAAUUUGGACACAGAGACAUGCAUAGAGUGAUGAUGAUGUAAAGAGACAUUGGGAGAAGAUGGUGAUCUACAAGCCAAGGAGAGAGGCCUGGAACAGAUCCCUUCCCACACAGCCUCUAGCAGGAACCAACCAUGGUGACAUCUUGAUCUUGGACUUCUAGACUUCAAAACUAUUUAUUUAUUUAUUGGCUGCACUGGGUCUUCGUUACUGCACGUGGGCUUUCUCUAGUUGCAGUAAGUGGGGGCUACUCUUCAUUUCAGUGUUUGGGCUUCUUAUUGCGGUGGCUUCUCUUGUUGUAGAUCAUGGGCUUUAGGCACAUGGGCUUCAGCAGUUGUGGCACACAGGCUCAGUAGUUGUGGCCCUAGAGCCCAGGCUCAAUAGUUGUGGCGCAUGGGCUUAGUUGCUCCUCGGCAUGUGGGAUCCUCCUGGG